AAGUCGUAACAAGGUUUCCGUAGGUGAACCUGCGGAAGGAUCAUUAGUGAAUACAAACGCCUGGGUGUCUCUGCUUCGGCAAGCCCCUCGCACCCUUCACAUCCAUAACACCUGUGCACUGUAAGAUGACUCUCUGGCUUCGGCCUCUGGGUCGUCUGACCUUUUUACAAACCUUUAUAUGUAACAAAUGUAGUCUUAUUAUAACAAAGUAAAACUUUCAACAACGGAUCUCUUGGCUCACACAUCGAUGAAGAACGCAGCGAAACGCGAUAGGUAAUGUGAAUUGCAGAAUUCAGUGAAUCAUCGAAUCUUUGAACGCAUCUUGCGCUUGCUGGUAUUCCGGCAAGCAUGCCUGUUUGAGUGUCAUGAAAAUUAUCAACCACGACUUGGGUUUAGGCCCCUGGCGCGGCUUGGAUUUGGGUGCUUGCGGCCUCGUGCUGCUCACCUCAAAAGGAUUAGCUGGACAUGUCGUGAGACUUGGUUCUACUUGGCGUAAUAAGUAUUUCGCUGAGGACAUCCCUCGGGGUGGCCAAGACUCUGGUACAAACGUCUGCUUUCUAACCCGACUGUCUUCGGACAUCACUUUUUAUGAUCUGGCCUCAAAUCAGGUAGGACUACCCGCUGAACUUAAGCAUAUCAAUAAGCGGAGGAAAAGAAACUAACAAGGAUUCCCCUAGUAACGGCGAGUGAAGCGGGAAGAGCUCAAAUUUGAAAUCUGAUGGCCUCAGGCUAUCCGAGUUGUAAUCUAUAGGAACGUUUUCCGUGCCGGCUCAUGUACAAGUCCCUUGGAACAGGGCGUCAUAGAGGGUGAGAAUCCCGUACUUGACAUGAACUACCGGUGCUCUGUGAUACGUCUCCAACGAGUCGAGUUGUUUGGGAAUGCAGCUCAAAAUGGGUGGUAAAUUCCAUCUAAAGCUAAAUAUUGGUGUGAGACCGAUAGCGAACAAGUACCGUGAGGGAAAGAUGAAAAGCACUUUGGAAAGAGAGUUAAAAAGUAUGUGAAAUUGUUGAAAGGGAAACGAUUGAAGUCAGUCAUGUCCUUCAGAUUCAGCUGGUUCUGCCGGUGUAUUUCUGUUGGAUGGGGUCAACAUCAGUUUUGGAUGCCGGAUAAAGGCUGGAGGAAGGUAGUACCCCCGGGUAAACUUAUAGCCUCCUGUCGCAUACGGUGACCGGGACUGAGGAACGCAGCUUGCCUUUAUGGCCGGGGUUCGCCCACGUACAAGCUUAGGAUGUUGACAUAAUGGCUUUAAACGACC
rnacentral:rRNA from 1 species